GUCUCGAUCUCCUGACCUCGUGAUCCGCCCGCCUCAGCUUCCCAAAGUGCUGGGAUUACAGGCAUGAGCCACCGCGCCCGGCCCCCGACACCUAGUUUUAAAGGGCCCCUGCUGUUGCUGCCGCUGCCGCCGCUCCCAGCUGCCCAGUCUGGCGGGCUCAGUCCCGCGUUGCCAUGUGUGGGAGACCGCGUCGCGUAAGCGCUGGAUGUGGCUUCGCUGAUGCACAUUGGACCGGGCUCUGGACUGGGCUAGGGGAAGGGCAGGAGGGCGGAAUUGGGCCCGAGGGCCAGGCCUCGCCGACCCCCGACUGCGCCUCCCGGUGGCCCCGCAGCGCCUCCCGGUGGCCCUGGAGUGCAGGUCUUACCGUCCGAGAUCGUCCGCAACUGGGCGAGCUGUGCAUGGGGCGUGGCUAAGGCCGUGGUUUGGUUACGAUUGGCCAGCGGGACUUAAGUGUUGUCUCUGAAGAGCAUGGACAUUAGUCUGGAGGGUCCUGGAAGAGUGAUCCCCGCCCCACCAUCAAAUGGCGCUUAGGUCUAGGAAGCGGGUGUGGGUGGGGCCUUAGGGCGAGGCGCAGACAUACCCCGAAGUGGUUGGAUUGUAUACCGCAAGGGGCUGGAUCGAACCCCCCAAAGACACUGGAAGGCUGUGUGGCUGAGGAGGGCCCGGCAGAUCCAGUGUGUCGUGGGCUUUACAGGAAAGAGCUCCACCUUCUCUGGAGUGUGCAGAUGCGAUCUAGGUGUGUCCACCCGAUGGGAGCUGCGGGCCGGGCAGAUGCUGCCCCAGUACAAAGCUGAUUUGGACCUGGGGCCUCUGGACUUCCCUGAUUCUCUGCUUGCAUCUCCAGCAAAGUCCUGUCCCGUUGGCUGCCUUCAUCCACUCUCUCACUUCUCUGCCUUCAGAGUAAAAUUGCAAGAUCUGUGGUGCUUACUGGGAUCUGAUAGAGUCUCUCGGCAUCCACUGUCUAUGCAGCGGGUGUCCACCUGCAGCGGGGGCCAUGUGCAGCGGGGGGCCACGUGCAGUGUGUGCCUCUUCUUAGCCAUGCUGGACAGCGCCGCCCCUGAAAAGCAGCUCCCCGGUUUCACCCAGAAAGCCAUCCAGAACCUCCUGGAAAAGGUGGCCUGAUGGCCAAGUGGCCUCGGAUGCCAGGCUCAAUCCUUUGAACUUUUCCUGUGGGCUGUCAGGACCCAUAGAAGGUCUUUGAGCAGGUGAGUUUGGAGCAGAUCUGGUAGGCAAGCGAACAGAUGGAUGCGUGCACUGGAGAUUCCGUGGGUUCCCCUGUGUACAUCUCUUCCCUUUGGGAAACUGCCCUGAGUGAGGGGCUAAGGGCAGGAUUUGCAUUGAAAUCCUAGCUUUGCUGCUGUCAGCCCAACUUUUAGGCAACAGGGUCUUGGUUUGAUGUGACAUUUCCAAGUCCAUCUUGUAUCACAA
rnacentral:lncRNA from 1 species